ensembl:lncRNA
GUGAGGGGUGAGGGAAAGUUAAUUUCAUUCCCCUUUACUAUCUAAAUGCCUUUUGGAGAAAAAGAGGCUGCCUUAAAGAUUUAAUCCCUCUCAUGGUAGAAAGAGCUAUGCUUUUCUUAGAAACCCAGCUGUCUAGCCACUGCCACUGUUACUUUCCUUGGGAGGAAUUUUAAGCCUUCAGGACAAUUAAAGCUGUCUUUAUCUUGUUUGUUGAGCAUCCUCAGUCAGUUGAGUUCAGUUCCUCAGUCGUGUCCGACUCUCUGCGACCCCAAGGACUGCAGCACGCCAGGCCUCCCUGUACCUCACCAACUCCCGCAGUUUACUCAAACUGAUGUUCAUUGAGAUCCUAUCCAGCAUUCCACCUUGCAUUUAGUCAGCUUGUCUUAGACUCCUCUGCACUGUGACACCUUCUCAGUGUUCUUUAUUUUGAUGACCUCGAUGACCUCGACAUCUUUGAAAAGUACUGGUCAGUAACGGCGUUAUAGUCAGUUACCUGAUGAAUAGACGUGAUGUUUGCCACUUCUGGAUGAAGCCUUUCGAAGAAUAAGAAUUCUUCCUCCAUUCUCUGUUCGACUGGCUGGAUGCAGAUGAUAAGAAGGCCACAGAGAAGCCACAGGAUGGAAGGAACUUUGGUUCCUGAAUCAGUGCAUGUAGAAAAGCUGCCUGCUGACCUGAACAGCUGUUCUGAACUGUUAUAUAAACAAGAAAUAAACUUCUGUUGUAUUUAAGCCACUACAUAUUUGCAUCUGUUUGAUUCAGCAGUUUAUUUAGCCUACCCAAAGUAAUACAGAUGCCAUUAGAAUUUUAAUCUCAAAUACUUAAAUUAUUUAUUAUAUGUUUACAACCCUUAUGUGGUAAGCAGGGCAGGCACCUAUUUUAUAGGCAAAACAGUGAGGAAUAUGGAGAUUCAUAAAUUCUUUCAACAAAUACUUAUUGACCAUUAGGGAAAUUUGUUGCAAACAAUUUAUU